rnacentral:tRNA from 1 species
GCCGGGCUAGCUCAAUCGGUAGAGCGUGAGACUCUUAAUCUCAAGGUUGAGGGUUCGACCCCCUCGUUCGGCU